GUGGCUAGAAAUUGAUGGAAAUAGUGGGAAAAAACACACAAACUGGACUGUAACAAGACCUAACCAGUAACAAGACCUCGACCAGGACACAAACUCAACACUACGGACUCUGAAACUGAAAUAUGCAAAGGCUAUGGCGCGGAUGGAUUGUAGGACAUGAAAACAAUAUGGCGCUAGACUUAUGCGACGAACACAGGGACACUUGAAACUAAGGGUAGAUGUGAACCUAACGGCAUGUCUAAAGCAUUGAUUACCACUUGAGGAGAACAAGUGUGGCCCGAUCUUCCGAAACUUUCUGGUAACUAUCGAUUUGGUGGAAACGAGAGACAUAUCAAUCCAGCUUGCGAACAACACAAUUCGAAACCCUGCAAUUCUUUUUAUUUUUUUUGAUAUUUUUCUUUUACUAAGGAGCACUCAAGAAGUAACCACAGGAAAUUUGAGCUUAAACAAGUGAAAGACGUGGCCUGUGGAAUUUUUUGAAGAUUGUGAAAAAUAUGAAAAAAAUUUAGGAGGUGAAAAUUCAAACUUCAGAGGCGAAUUUGGGGAUUCUAAAAUUGUCGAACCCGCCGUUGGCGGGAUAGACAGAUCCAAAAAAAUUUUCUGAUCGAUUUUGAUAUAUGGAAUGUCAAAAUUGAAGUUCGUAUGCGAAAGUUAUGGCUGUUUUACGAACGGACUCCGAAUUAGAGGACAAAACGGUCCGGAAGUGGGAAAAAUUUGCGAUGGUGGCUAAAAAUUGAUGGAAAUAGUGGGAAAAAAUAGACAAACUCGACAGUAACAAGACCUAACCAGUAACAAGACCUCGACCAGGACACAAACUCAACACUACGGACUCUGAAACUGAAAUAUGCAAAGGCUAUGGCGCGGAUGGGUUGUAGGACAUGAAAACAAUAUGGCACUAGACUUAUGCGACGAACACAAGGACACUUGAAACUAAGGGUAGAUGUGAACCUAACGGCAUGUCUGAAGCAUUGAUUACCACUUGAGGAGAACAAGUGUGGCCCGAUCUUCCGAAAGUUUUUGGUAACUAUCGAUUUGGUGGAAACGAGAGACAUAUCAAUCCAGUUUGCGAACAACACAAUUCGAAACCCUACAAUUCUUUUUUUUGAUAUUUUUCUUUUACUUAGGAGCACUCAAGAAGUAACCACAGGAAAUUUGAGCUUAAACAAGUGAAAGACGUGGCCUGUUGAAUUUUUUGAAGAUUGUGAAAAAUAUGAAAAAAAUUUAGGAGGUGAAAACUCAAACUUCAGAGGCGAAUUUGGGGAUUCUAAAAUUGUCGAACCCGCCGUUGGCGGGAUAGACAGAUCCAAAAAAAUUUUCUAAUCGAUUUUGAUAUAUGGAACGUCAAAAUUGGAGUACGUAUGCGAAAGUUAUGGCUGUUUUACGAACCGACUCCGAAUUAGAGGACAAAACGGUCCGGAAGUGGGAAAAAUUGGCGAUGGUGGCUAUACAUGGACUUACUUUGUCCUAAAAGACAGACUAACUCGACUGUAACACGACCUAACCAGUAACACGACCUCGAGCAGGACACAAACUCAACACUACGGACUCUGAAACUGAUAUAUACGAAGGCUAUGGCGCGGAUGGGUUGUAGGACAUGAAAACAAUAUGGCACUAGACUUAUGCGACGAACACAAGGACACUUGAAACUAAGGGUAUAUGUGACCCUAACGGUAUGUCUGAAGCAUUGAUUACCACUUGAGAAGAACGUGUGUGGCCCGAUCUUCCGAAAGUUUCUGGUAACUAUCGAUGUGGUGGAAACGAGAGACAUAUCAAUCCAGUUUGCGAACAACACAAUUCGAAACCCUACAAUUCUUUUUUUUGAUAUUUUUGUUUUACUUAGGAGAACUCAAGAAGUAACCACAGGAAAUUUGAGCUUAAACAAGUGAAUUACGUGGCCUGUGGAAUUUUAUGAAGAUUGUGAAAAAUAUGAAAAAAACUUUAGGAGGUGAAAACUCAAACUUCAGAGGCGAAUUUGGGGAUCCUAUAAUUGUCGAACCCGCCGUUGGGGGGAUAGACAGAUCCAAAAAAUUAUUCCGAUCGAUUUUGAUAUAUGGAACGUCAAAAUUGGAGUUCGUAUGCGAAAGUUAUGGCUGUUUUACGAACGGACUCCGAAUUAGAGGGCAAAACAGUCCGGAAGUGGGAAAAAUUUGCGAUGGUGGCUAGAAAUAGAUGGAAAUAGUGGGAAAAAAUAGACAAACUGGACUGUAACAAGACCUAACCAGUAACAAGACCUUGACCAGGACACAAACUCAACACUACGGACUCUGAAACUGAAAUAUGCAAAGGCUAUGGCGCGGAUGGGUUGUAGGACAUGAAAACAAUAUGGCACUAGACUUAUGCGACGAACACAAGGACACUUGAAACUAAGGGUAGAUGUGAACCUAACGAUAUGUCUGAAGCUUCGAAUACCACUUCAGGAGAACAAGUGUGGCCCGAUCUUCCGAAACUUUCUGGUAACUAUCGAUUUGGUGGAAACGAGAGACAUAUCAAUCCAGCUUGCGAACAACACAAUUCGAAACCCUGCAAUUCUUUUUAUUUUUUUUUAUAUUUUUCUUUUACUAAGGAGCACUCAAGAAAUAACCACAGGAAAUUUAAGCUUAAACAAGUGAAAGACGUGGCCUGUGGAAUUUUUUGAAGAUUGUGAAAAAUAUGAAAAAAAUUUAGGAGGUGAAAACUCAAACUUCAGAGGCGAAUUUGGGGAUUCUAAAAUUGUCGAACCCGCCGUUGCCGGGAUAGACAGAUCCAAAAAAAUUUUCUGAUCGAUUUUGAUAUAUGGAACGUCAAAAUUGAAGUUCGUAUGCGAAAGUUAUGGCUGUUUUACGAACGGACUCCGAAUUAGAGGACAAAACGGUCCGGAAGUGGGAAAAAUUUGCGAUGGUGGCUAGAAAUUGAUGGAUAUAGUGGGAAAAAACAGACAAACUCGACUGUAACAAGACCUAACCAGUAACAAGACCUCGACCAGGACACAAACUCAACACUACGGACUCUGAAACUGAAAUAUGCAAAGGCUAUGGCGCGGAUGGGUUGUAGGACAUGAAAACAAUAUGGCACUAGACUUAUGCGACGAACAAGGACACUUGAAACUAAGGGUAGAUGUGAACCUAACGGCAUGUCUGAAGCAUUGAUUACCACUUGAGAAGAACAAGUGUGGCCCGAUCUUCCGAAAGUUUCUGGUAACUAUCGAUUUGGUGGAAACGAGAGACAUAUCAAUCCAGUUUGCGAACAACACAAUUCGAAACCCUACAAUUCUUUUUUUUGAUAUUUUUGUUUUACUUAGGAGCACUCAAGAAGUAACCACAGGAAAUUUGAGCUUAAACAAGUGAAUUACGUGGCCUGUGGAAUUUUAUGAAGAUUGUGAAAAAUAUGAAAAAAAAAUUUAGGAGGUGAAAACUCAAACUUCAGAGGCGAAUUUGGGGAUCCUAUAAUUGUCAAACCCGCCGUUGGCGGGGAUAGACAGAUCCAAAAAUUGUUUCUGAUCGAUUUGAUUUUGAUAUAUAGAACAUCAAAAUUGGAGUUCGUAUGCGAAAGUUAUGGCUGUUUUACGAACGGACUCUGAAUUAGAGGACAAAACGGUCCGGAAGUGGGAAAAAAUUGCGGUGGUGGCUAGAAAUUGAUGGAAACAGUGGGAAAAAACACACAAACUGGAAUGUAACAAGACCUAACCAGUAACAAGACCUCGACCAGGACACAAACUCAACACUAGGGACUCUGAAACUGAAAUAUGCAAAGGCUAUGGCGCGGAUGGGUUGUAGGACAUGAAAAUAAUAUGGCAAUAAACUUAUGGGACGAACACAAGGACACUUCAAACUAAGGGUAGAUGCGAACCUAACGAUAUGUCUGAAGCUUUGAUUACCACUUCAGGAGAACAAGUGUGGCCCGAUCUUCCGAAACUUUCUGGUAACUAUCGAUUUGGUGGAAACGAGAGACAUAUCAAUCCAGCUUGCGAACAACACAAUUCGAAACCCUACAAUUCUUUUUAUUUUUUUGUAUAUUUUUCUUUUACUAAGGAGCACUCAAGAAAUAACCACAGGAAAUUUAAGCUUAAACAAGUGAAAGACGUGGCCUGUUGAAUUUUUUGAAGAUUGUGAAAAAUAUGAAAAAAAUUUAGGAGGUGAAAACUCAAACUUCAGAGGCGAAUUUGGGGAUUCUAAAAUUGUCGAACCCGCCGUUGGCGGGAUAGACAGAUCCAAAAAAAUUUUCUAAUCGAUUUUGAUAUAUGGAACGUCAAAAUUGGAGUUCGUAUGCGAAAGUUAUGGCUGUUUUACGAACCGACUCCGAAUUAGAGGACAAAACGGUCUGGAAGUGGGAAAAAUUUGCGAUGGUGGCUAGAAAUUGAUGGAAAUAGUGGGAAAAAACACACAAACUGGACUGUAACAAGACCUAACCAGUAACAAGACCUCGACCAGGACACAAACUCAACACUACGGACUCUGAAACUGAAAUAUGCAAAGGCUAUGGCGCGGAUGGAUUGUAGGACAUGAAAACAAUAUGGCGCUAGACUUAUGGGACGAACACAAGGACACUUCAAACUAAGGGUAGAUGUGAACCUAACGGCAUGUCUGAAGCAUUGAUUACCACUUGAGGAGAACAAGUGUGGCCCGAUCUUCCGAAACUUUCUGGUAACUAUCGAUUUGGUGGAAACGAGAGACAUAUCAAUCCAGCUUGCGAACAAC
rnacentral:lncRNA from 1 species